rnacentral:lncRNA from 1 species
UUCCCCCUCUUUUUUGGGGUCUUUCUCCCAUUUUUGGGGUUUUUUCCCCCGUUUUUGGGGUUUCCUCCCCUCCCCCAAUAAAGUUUCCUUGGACCUGCGGCUGCUCCAGUUCCUUCCCAGUUUGGGACUGGGAGCACUGGGAGGGGCACUGGGGGGGUCGUUCGGGGAUUUUUGGGGUGUUUUGGGGUCAAUUUGGGAUUUUUGGGGUCAAUUUGGGAUUUUGGGGAAGGCUGGGAAUCGUUUCUGGGUGGGAAAAACCCCAAAAUUUGGGAUUUUCGCCAUCUCCCCGCCUGAUUUUUUUUUGGGGGGGGUCUCUGUGGCGAUUUUGGGUUCAUUUUGCGAGGUUUUGGUUAAUUUUGGGGGGGAUAUUUGGGGUCUGGCGGUGAUUUUUGGGGUGUUUUGGCUCAUUUUUGGGGGGGGGUUUUUGGCUGAUUUUUUUAAUUUUUAAAUUUUUUUUUAAAAUUUCUCAAAUUUUUUUUUAAUUUCUUAAAAAAAAAAGAAUUUUUUUAAAAACCUCACUCCUGGAAAAACCAGGAAUUUUCUGGAUUUCUCCCCAAAUCGCCGAUUUUGGGGAUUUUUGACCUUUUCAGGGCUCAAUUAAAAAAAAACAAACUUUAAAAAGUGAAGUGAAAAUCCCCCAAAAGCGGAAAAAUCCCCCCCAAAAAAUCCCACUUCUCUUUUUUUUUUGCGUGUUUGGGGUUUUUUUUGCAUUCUUGACGUUUUUCCUGGGGGGUUUUGGGGGCGUUUUCGGGUCUCAAAUCACACGAAAAUCGCCAAAAACAGCCGAGAACACCCAGAAAAAAGAGAUUUACCUGGAAACGGGAGCGCAGGCUCUGGAGCGAUGCCGCCACUCCAGUUCUUGGCUCUGCUGCUUCUCGGCGCGGGAAUUUCGGGAAUUUCGGGAAUUUGGGGAAUUCCAGUGGAGCUGCCCGGUGAGUCCGAGCAUGAGCCCGAGCCCAGAAGGGCCCGGAAUGGCCCAGUUCCCUCCCAGUCCAUCCCAGUCCAUCCCAGUCCCUCCCAGUUUAUCCCAGUUCCCUCCCAGUCUCUCCCAGUCCAUCCCAGUCCAUCCCAGUCCCUCCCAGUCCAUCCCAGUCCAUCCCAGUCACUCCCAGUCACUCCCAGUUUAUCCUCACAGCAGGAAGAGCCCCCGGCGGUGCCCCCGCAGCUCCCGGUGCCCAUCCCAGUCCAUCCCAGUCCUAUCCCAGUCCAUCCCAGUCCCCUCCCAGUCCAUCCCAGUCCAUCCCAGUCCUAUCCCAGUCCAUCCCAGUCCAUCCCAGUCCCCUCCCAGUCCAUCCCAGUCCUUCCUCCUCUCGUUCCAGUCCCCUUCCAGUCCAUCCCAGUCCCCUCCCAGUUCCCUCCCAGUCCAUCCCAGUUCCCUCCCAGU